AACCGAGAGGUCUAGUCAUUUACGGCGGUAAGAUAGUAAAGGAGAAAAAUAGCUAUCAAAACAGUAUUAUAAAGUAAAAUUUGAAUACUGUUUUAAACCUAAGAAGCUUUAUCCGAAGCUAUGAAAUCCUUGAGGGAAACUGGGAUUAGAUACCCCAUUAUUCUAGGAUAUAAAAAUUUUACCAGGGGACUACGAACCAUGUUUAAAACCCAAAGAGCUUGGCGGUAUUUUAGACCCCCCAGGGGAACCUGUCUCGUAAUCGAUGAUCCACGCUGAACCUGACCCUGCUUAGUUCGCUUGUAUACCGUCGUCUUCAGGUAACUUCCAAAAAGAAAAAAGUUAGCAGAUAACACAUAAGUGUUUGACGUCAGAUCAAGGUGCAGUUUAUAGUAGGGGGAGGAUGGGUUACAAUUAUAAAAUUAUAACUACGGUGUAAAUAAACUGAAAUGUUUUUACUAAGGAGGACUUGGAAGUAAGGCUAUCAAGAUAAAUAGCCUGAAUAAGGCUCUGAAAUGU
rnacentral:rRNA from 1 species